rnacentral:rRNA from 1 species
GACGAACCGUGCGAACGUUGUUCGGAAUCACUGGGCUUAAAGGGCGCGUAGGCGGGCACGCAAGUCAGGGGUGAAAGCCCACGGCUCAACCGUGGAAGGGCCUUUGAUACUGCGUGUCUGGAGGGAGGUAGGGGCGUGCGGAACUUCCGGUGGAGCGGUGAAAUGCGUAGAUAUCGGGAGGAACACCAAUGGCGAAGGCAGCUCGCUGGGACGGUACUGACGCUGAGGCGCGAAAGCGUGGGGAGCAAACAGG